AUUGAACGCUGGCGGCAGGCCUAACACAUGCAAGUCGAGCGGAUGAAGGGAGCUUGCUCCUGGAUUCAGCGGCGGACGGGUGAGUAAUGCCUAGGAAUCUGCCUGGUAGUGGGGGAUAACGUCCGGAAACGGGCGCUAAUACCGCAUACGUCCUGAGGGGGAAAGUGGGGGAUCUUCGGACCUCACGCUAUCUGAUGAGCCUAGGUCGGAUUAGCUAGUUGGUGGGGUAAAGGCCUACCAAGGCGACGAUCCGUAACUGGUCUGAGAGGAUGAUCAGUCACACUGGAACUGAGACACGGUCCAGACUCCUACGGGAGGCAGCAGUGGGGAAUAUUGGACAAUGGGCGAAAGCCUGAUCCAGCCAUGCCGCGUGUGUGAAGAAGGUCUUCGGAUUGUAAAGCACUUUAAGUUGGGAGGAAGGGCAGUAAGUUAAUACCUUGCUGUUUUGACGUUACCAACAGAAUAAGCACCGGCUAACUUCGUG
rnacentral:rRNA from 1 species